rnacentral:tRNA from 1 species
AAGAUAUUAGUAAAAAAAUUACAUAACUUUGUCGAAGUUAACUUAUAGGUUAAAGCCCUUUAUAUCUUU